CACACCUCUGCACACUCCUCGUGUCUUGGCAGGAAUGGCUCGCUCGGACAGGGCUUGGCUACAGAACACAGCAAGCCUGCACGGAGGGCAGGAUCUCUCAGAACUUCAAGUUUUCUAGCAGGACCCGUAUCUCAGACUGCUAGGUUCAAAAUGCACUAUCAGUAUGCAGUGUAGAGUUAAAUUCUGGAAAGGUUUCUCCAAAUUGGAGCUUCUUUAUAUUGGAGUUGAGCUCUUUGAUUCUGAGAAGAAGGGAGAGAGCAACAGCCAAUUGCUCUGAGCAACUGGAGCUGAAAUUUGCCUGAAGUGAGUCUUGGCAUCCAGCCAGUACCCUCUCAUGAGUAAGAAUCAAUUUGCAAGGUAUUGAAUAAACCCUUGGGCUCUGCUGUGGAGAGGUGACCACCCAUGAAAACAACUGACAUGAAAAAAACACAAGUUGAGCUGUCAUCUUAGUUAACAUGAAGAAACAGGGUAUGAAGGUAGAGAGCGGCUGUGGAUGUAUUUUUAACACUACUGGA